rnacentral:lncRNA from 1 species
GUAAAAAUCUUAUUAAAAUGUUAUCAAAAGCUGGGGAUGCUUUAAGAUCUGAUUAAGAAAGUUUGAACAAUAAUAAUUAGGAGUGAAGUCCCAGAGAUAUUCUGUGUUGGUGCCCCUUCCCUUAAGGAAAGGGCCAAAAUGAAUUCCAGUGAAGUUGGUCCUUUUGUCUCCAAAACAAGAGCAGAAAUUAAUGACUUUGCCAAUCUGCCAUUGCCAACCACUGCAGCAAUAGAUGGACUUGCACAAGGUGGUGGUCUUAAAUUGGCUCAAGACUGUGAUACAGGAGUAGCAGCUUCCUCUGCAAAAAUGGGCCUUGUUAAAACAAAGUUGGCAAUUAUUCCUGGUGGAGGGGGAACUCAGUAAUAAUCACAUGCCAUCAGAAUGUCCCUGGCCAAGGAGCUCACCUUCUUUGCGGGAGUCUUUGAUGGCCAGGGACAGAACCAGGAGGUGGAUGCUGUCUACAGAAAGACUCUGGACCUAGCAAGAGAGUUUCUACCUCAGGAAACUGUUGCAAUGAGAGAGGCAAAAUUAGCAAUUAAUCAAGGAAUGGAAGUUUAUGUAGUAACAGGAUUAGCCAUAGAAUAAGCAUGUUAUGCUCAAACUAUUCCAACAAAAGACAAACUUGAAGGUCUUCUUUCUUCUAAAGAGGAAAGGCCCCCUCACUAUAAAGGAAAAUAGGGAAAAAAAACAUUAGUUUUUAUAGUGUCACUGUGAUAAAAGUACUUCUGAAAGUAUCUUUCAAAUCCACUCUGAUGCCUCAGCACAUG